rnacentral:rRNA from 1 species
AGUGAACGCUGGCGGUAGGCCUAACACAUGCAAGUCGAACGGCAGCACAGUAAGAGCUUGCUCUUACGGGUGGCGAGUGGCGGACGGGUGAGGAAUACAUCGGAAUCUACUUUUUCGUGGGGGAUAACGUAGGGAAACUUACGCUAAUACCUCAUACGACCUACGGGUGAAAGCAGGGGAUCUUCGGACCUUGCGCGAUUGAAUGAGCCGAUGUCGGAUUAGCUAGUUGGCGGGGUAAAGGCCCACCAAGGCGACGAUCCGUAGCUGGUCUGAGAGGAUGAUCAGCCACACUGGAACUGAGACACGGUCCAGACUCAUACGGGAGGCAGCAGUGGGGAAUAUUGGACAAUGGGCGCAAGCCUGAUCCAGCCAUACCGCGUGGGUGAAGAAGGCCUUCGGGUUGUAAAGCCCUUUUGUUGGGAAAGAAAAGCAGCAGGUUAAUACCCCGCUGUUCUGACGGUACCCAAAGAAUAAGCACCGGCUAACUUCGU